rnacentral:lncRNA from 10 species
AGGUAAAAGUCUUGCAGUGAAAAACCCGAGGACCCUUACCGCAAGUGUCUUUUGCUCCCAGCUACUGAUACUGGAUUCCACUCGUGAUUCUCCCUUUCUUAGCGCAUUCAUGAUAUAGACAUCAGUCUCUGAGCUGGAGGAGGACAAAGGCAGCGGUCCUGUGAAUUCUAUGCUCUAGCUUGGGUUAAGGGAUUUGGAAUUGCACUUGUUUCAGAGAGAGCUCCCUCUUUGCCCACUAGCAGGGCAUUAGCUGGUGCUGAAGACAGUGGCUGCUUGGCGAGCCUGGAUCUCCAAGUGACCCCCUCAGCAACUCCUGAUGAACAGGACUGAAGCCAAUAUUAAAGCAAGUCAACCAAAGGUUCUCUGGUGUAGACAAGACAGCAAAAGGACAGACUACCUUGUGGAACCUAGCAUUGUUCUCCUUCUGCAGCACUAAGUAACAUUUGUUCUCCGUUAAGAUCUUUGCAAACCACACACAAGAAUUGCUGGUCAUCCUGCCAAUAGAUGCUGCUCACAGAACCAAAUUUCCUGUGCUGAAUUGUCACUCAUGGGCUUGAGAGUAGGAGACUGGAGACCAAGGUGGCUAGAAUCCAGUUGGGCCUGAUGUCUCCCUGUUGAAAGGGCUCCUUGUGGAAUGAAUAGCACAUGGCUCCUGUGGUGGAUCUGAUAGUGGCAUAGCACCAAGUGAUGCAGGCCUGCCAGGGGCCACAGACACAGAAGAUGCUCCCGGGGUCCCCCAUGUACUCCAGACACACUGCAGGCCACCUCUCCCAGCAGGUUGCCAGUCAUGGGCCCCAUCAUCAUGACUUCUGUCCAAGAGGUACUGUGUGCAGAAAUGUGAUUGAGAUUCAAGUCAGGGCCUCUCUGCCCUUUUCCCUCCAGAAACAAAACCAAGAUAAUUUAUCCUGAACACGGUGAAAAAAGGAAGGGAGGGAGGAGAAAAAGUCCGGGUCUCACCUGGGAUUCUCUGUCUCCUGCAACAUGAAGGAUUUAGCCUGGGAGGAGGUGGUGAGAACUCUGGGAGAGAAAAAAGAAGGAAAGAAUAGUUUUACCCAUGCUGAAGUUAAUUUAAACCUUCACCUAGAGAAGCAAAAAAAAAAAACCCACACUUUCCCAUUUUGUGCCUCCCUUCCUAGAGUUUUAGCCAAAGGUUUAGCUAAGUAAUUGGUUUUACCAGCGCACUCACUCCUCCUAUCCCAAGUCUGUUUGACUCCCUCCCCAUCAUCCUCCUCACCUCUUUUCAGGCAGGGUGGGGAUAGCAGCAGGAGGAGAUUUUGGGAGCCUGGCAACUCCUGCAAGGACCGCAGGACAGCCCCUCUGUGGGGAUGCGUGGUGCCCCAUCUGCCGCCCUUCUGAAGAAUGCACUGCCUUCACUUUUUACUGUGUUAGAGUCCAUCCAGACUGUUCUAUCCAAAAAAGUUUCUUUUUCCCCCACAGGCAAUCAGGAAAUGAUUCCUUUCCCGACUGCUUCUGUCUAGUGCCUGGGAAUCUUGAGUCAAUCCCUCAGUAAGUCAGUGACUAGGGAAAUCCCUCUCUGAGCCUCCCAGUUCAUGUUGCUUAGGGAACCUGAUAUUUUCGUGAAACCUGCCUACACAUGGGCAGCCCAACAGCAGAACAAAUGGUGGUGACCAAAGUGAACAAAGAAGUAUAGUUGUGCCAGCUUCGUAGUUGCCCAUGUGGACAAGUCAGCAGGAUCAGGACACGAGGAAGAGUAAAUGUGAGACAGUCAAUGUGACUUCUGCGAUAAACAGAUUUUUAAACCCCGAAAUUUUGCAAAAUUUUGGUGAAACCUGAACUUUCUUCGUUGCAUAUACUGGCACUAUCUGUACCAUCAUACAACUGUCUCACAUUAAAGCUAUUUUU